AUGGGGAUCCUGUUCAUCGCGAGGGGUGUGGCGUAUCGCAAAACGGGACUCCAUGGGCUACUGUUCAUCUCCACCGUCGACCUCCUCCAGCCUCCGCGGGCUACUGUUCAUCCACCGUCGACCUCCUCCAGCCUCCACCUGCGACUGUUCAUCCACGGGCUCCUGUUCAUCCAGCCUCCACCACUCCUCCACCGGCUACUGUUCAACCAGCCGUCUCCAUGGGGUCCUAUUCAACCAUCCCUCCACGGGCUACUGUUUAUCCAGCCCUCCACCAGCUACUGUUCAACCAGCCCUCCACGGGGUCGUCCCGUUCAUACAACCCUCCACGGGGUCCUAUUCAUCCACCCCAACUAG
rnacentral:rRNA from 1 species